rnacentral:lncRNA from 1 species
GUAGAAGUACACUUAUAUUUCAGUAUUCAAUGAUACUCUGUUCAUGGUGACGAAAUUCACACUAGUAAUCAAUGCUGGAAAUUCCUUAGAGUCAGUCCAACACAUGCUAUUGUAUUUAAUAAUUGGAUUGUGUAUUCAAGGUCAUGCGCUCUUCAUCAUAUGCAGAUACUUACAGAGAAAUUAAACCACCACAAUAAUAUAACUACAAUAUUGUAUGUUUUUCCUGGGGCACAUGGAGCAAAAUGAGAAAAAACAAUCAUAUGGCUCUCAAAUGGAUUUUCCUUCACACGCAGUCAAAAUAUGUCACCGCUCAUUUUUGUGCAAGUUUUUCAAGUUCUGAAGAUUAUGAGUUGAGAAGAAAUGACAGCAGUGGCCUUGGAAAUUGGUUGGAAGACAUGCAAAGAUGUGGUGAUGAUGCCACACCCUGCUGAAAGUCCUCCCCAUCACAGUCUCCAUGACCUUUUGCCUUACUUAAGAUGCUGCCCUGAUGGAUGCAGCUGGAAGCCAUCCCAUGCAAAUGACAUUACAGGACCAAAUGGCAGCCACCACCCCAGCUUUGCCUCUAUGGCAAUGGUUACCCGCACUGCACAACUACUGAAGUGUUUCUGAUCAGAAUCUAGGCAGCAAACACACAGUCAUUUAGACUCAGCUGUACAGUUUAAUCUUGGCAAGGGACUGACGAGGAAAAACAUAACCAUAGCAAGUCUAUCUUAUCUCCCACACUUAAACAAACUCAGUCAACUUCCAGGCAAAUGUUGCAGUGAACUGUGGUUUUUUACACUUGAAACAUUAACUACUGCAUGAGAGCAGAUACUGGACUGGAAAAAAAAAAAAAAAAAGAAAAAAAAACCACAAAGCCAAUACUUAGUUCUAGAAGUCUUU